UACAGAGGGUGCAAGCGUUAAUCGGAAUUACUGGGCGUAAAGCGCGCGUAGGUGGUUUGUUAAGUUGGAUGUGAAAGCCCCGGGCUCAACCUGGGAACUGCAUCCAAAACUGGCAAGCUAGAGUACGGUAGAGGGUGGUGGAAUUUCCUGUGUAGCGGUGAAAUGCGUAGAUAUAGGAAGGAACACCGGUGGCGAAGGCGACCACCUGGACUGAUACUGACACUGAGGUGCGAAAGCGUGGGGAGCAAACAGG
rnacentral:rRNA from 1 species